CCCUUAGAUGUUCUGGGCCGCACGCGCGCUACACUGAUGCAUUCAACGAGUCUAAAACCUGGUCUGAUAGGGCUGGGUAAUCUUUUGAAAGUGCAUCGUGAUUGGGAUAGAUGAUUGCAAUUCUUCAUCUUCAACGAGGAAUGCCUAGUAAACGCAAGUCAUCAGCUUGCAUUGAUUACGUCCCUGCCCUUUGUACACACCGCCCGUCGCUCCUACCGAUUGAAUGAUCCGAUGAAUACCAUGGAUUGAGAGUACGAAUGGGUUCGCUCAUUUCUGCUGCUCGAGAAGUGGAGUAAAUCUUAUCAUUUAGAGGAGGGAGAAGUCGUAACA
rnacentral:rRNA from 1 species